GCGCAGGUGUACCAGGAUCCCGG
rnacentral:misc_RNA from 1 species